rnacentral:rRNA from 1 species
CGACCUGGUGGUAAUGGUAGGGGGUCUGGACCGGAUCCCAUCCCGAACUCCGUCGUUAAGCCCCCUUGCGCCAAUGGUACCACGUCUUAAGGUGUGGGAGAGUAGGUCGCUGCCGGGUC